rnacentral:lncRNA from 1 species
GUGGGGCCUUGGGCCAAACCGUCACCCCUGGGCCACAGGCAGCCACGGACCUCGCCUUUCCCACUUGGUUAGAGUCGGCUCUGCCGGGAGAAAGCGAUUCCAGAAUUCCCUAAGUUAAAGGAAUUUCUUACUCCUUCUUGAGCGCCAUCCAAGGGCCAGGCCUUAGUCUAGGAACUGGCAACACCGUGGCGACCACGUCAGACAAGAUCGCUGCCCUCAUUGAGUUCCCAGGUUGGCAGGGGAAACAAAAAUGUAAUAAAUAACUGCACUUUGCAAGAAGAGCUAUGAAGAAAAAACAGGGUGAUGGGAGAGAGAAUGCUUGGAUGUUGAAGGGAGGCCUUUCUGAGAUGGCGACAUCUUGAGCUGAAUAAAGAAGGAUGAGAAAGGAUGGGGCUUGCAAAGUUCUGGCUUCAAAGAAUUCCAGGCAGAGGGAACAAGAGUGAAGUCUCCAGGGGAAGCCAGCUUAGUGUUUGGAGACUAGAAAGAAGGGGUGUGCGGCUGGAAGAUGGGAUGAGAAAACUAAAAAUCCAGGGGGAUUUUAGCAACUUGCCUACCUCACACAACUAGCAGCAGAGCCAGGAUUUUAACCCAGACAGUUCCAGGGCUCAGGUCCUUACCCUCUGGGCUGGCCUUCCCCCUCUACUGCCCCCUGAUACCCUCACUUUUCUGAACAUUGGACUCAUUCCUGUAGCUGGAGGUAGAGGACGGAAACUCAAAAGAUGAUUGAAGAUUAAAAAACAAGAUGAUUGAGGCUGGACUUCUCAAAACCUUGCUGCAGCCUGAGCUUGAGCGUUUGUGAGCUUUGCAGCCAGAUAUGAACAGAAGACAGAUUCAUUUCCUGCUGCCUGCUUCUCCAACCCCAAAUCUCCCAGUUUGAUCCGAGAGCCCUGAAGAUUUGCCUUCACCCGGCGCCCCCCAGAUGCUUCUUUUUAAGCCUUGCUUGUAAAUAGGUGUCAGUAAGGGUCUCACCAUGCAGGAUGUGGGCGUGUGGGUGCUCCAGAUCCCCACACCGGCUGUCACCAUCCCCCUGCUGUUGCCAGUGCAUCCCUUGAGGAUGCCUGGCAGGUUACACCCCACCCCGGGGGCAAAUGGUGACUGACAACAGAACAAGUGCUCACCUG